UUACAGCAGAGAAGGAACUCAAGGUCACUUACUAUCUUCAAGUAAAGCCAGAUUGGACUCAUUGUCCUCUGAUGAUCUUUAUUCUUCUACUCAACAGCAGAAGCGGAGCCCUGGUGGGAAACGGGGGUGGGGGUACAAGCGCAGUCACCAACAGACUGGCUGAAAGAAGCCUCUCUCUCGGGUAUUUAUAGAGCUUGCAUCGCCAUGGUACCCAGGCGCUGAAAUUAAACUCCAGCCCAACUGCUUAGAGAUGGAUGGAAUGAAAUACACUUCACCUGUCCACUGUGCAUGGUCUCAUACCUCAUUCUCAGAACUUCACCACUGCAAAGACAAACAAAUGCAGUGAAUUUUGCAAAUCACCUGGCAAGACAGGUAUAGGGUUGGGUUUAAAUCCAGAUAACCUGCCUCAACAGGGUGGCUGGGUGGAGUAGUAGAAAAAACAUGGGCAGAAAAAACAAUUCAUAUCUGAAACUUGACUCUGUGUCUUGCUCAGUGUGUGACUGUUAGCAUGAGACUGCAUCUCUUUGAGCCUCAGUUUCCCCACCUGUAAAAUGAGAGCAACAACAAGAAAAAUGAGAGCAACAAUGCCACCUCAUUGUUGACUUGUGACAACUAAGUGAGAUGAUGUAAGUAAAGUGCUUAGCUCAGUUUCUGAAAUGCAGACGUUCUUUUAAAUAUAGGUCCCCUUCCCUGCUCAGCUCUGUUAUUCAUUUAUUCCACAAGACUUUUGUGUGUGCCUAUUGUAUGCCAGACAAGUAUUGAGACACAGGGUGAUUUCUGGUCCUGUGUAGCAAACAGUUUAGUAAUGUUACAUAUAAUAAACAAGUCAACAAAUGAAAAAGUAACUGCAAGUUGUUGUUAAUAAUAUGAAGGAUGGAGUGUGCCCUGAAGAAUGUGGUAGGGUGUGGAUUGGCUGAGAAUCUACUUUAGACUGGGCCAGAGGAGAAGGCCAUUCUGAGGAGGUAACAUUUAAGCAGAGACCUCAAGCAGCCAGCAAUGUGAAAAACCAAAGAACAUGCAUUGCAGGCUAAGAGAUUAGCAGGUACGAACAAAAGCCCCGAAGACAGUAUUUCGACACACCCAGGGCACUGUUUCUAUUUCACUGAAAACCACAGGAGGCUGCCCUUGAUGCAGUCAUCCAAGCUAGAAGGUGGUAGCCGGAAAAUGCCACAAGAUUCUCUGACCCCAAACCCAGGGCUUCCUGUACCGUCAUCUCCAUCAUGAUCCAGGUGAGCAGAGUCCCUGCUUCCCACCCCUGGUUACUCAGCUGCAGUUGCCUCAAAGGUCCAGUAAAGCCUAGUGACGUUUGGCUAUUUUGCUACUUUGUCUU
rnacentral:lncRNA from 1 species